GACGAAGGGGGCAAGCGUUGUUCGGAAUUACUGGGCGUAAAGCGCGUGUAGGUGGUUGCCACAGUCAGGUGUGAAAGCCUUGAGCUCAACUCAAGAAAUGCACUUGAUACUGGGCGGCUAGAGGACCGGAGAGGAUAGUGGAAUUCCCAGUGUAGUGGUGAAAUACGUAGAGAUUGGGAAGAACACCAGUGGCGAAGGCGGCUAUCUGGACGGUUUCUGACACUAAGACGCGAAAGCGUGGGGAGCAAACAGG
rnacentral:rRNA from 1 species